AAAUAAAAGAUUUAUUAUAUUUUUUAUUUUAAAAAUUAAAUUUAAUUUAAUUAGAUUUUUGUUUUAUUAAUUAAUUAGAAAAAAUUAUUUUUAUUAUAGUAUAUUAGUAUAGUGAUAGAAAAUAUAAAAAUUAUAUAAAAGAAAAAUUAAUUUUUUGUACCUUGUGUAUCAGGGUUAAUUAAAAUUUUUAUAUAAAUAAUUAUAGUUCUCGAAUUUAAAAGAGUUAAUUGAUUAUAUUUUAAUUGUUAAAUAAAUUUUAUAAAUAAUUAAUUAGUAAUGAAAUGUUAUUCGUUUUUAAAUAUAUCUAGUUUUUUAAGAAAAAAAUUUAAUUUUUUUAAUAAUUAAUUAAUGAUUUUUUUAUUUAAAUUAUUAUUAUUAUUAAAAAAUUUUUUUUGGGAUAAGCUAAAAAGAAAAUAAAUAUUUUUAUUAAAAUUUGAAUUUUAAAUAUAUAGGAUUAGAAAUUUUUAUUUUUUAUAGUUUGUUAUAAUUAUUUUAAGAUUUAUUAAUUUUUUUAUAUUAAAUAUUUUUAUUAUUAAAAAAUUAAUUUUAAUUAAUUAAAAUUAAUAUAUAAUGAUUAAAUUAGUAUAAAAUUUUUUAAAUAUAGUAGGAAAUUUAUUUAGAUUUUAAAAAGGAAUUCGGCAAAAUUAUUUUUCACCUGUUUAUUAAAAACAUGGCUUUAAGAUAUUAAUUUUAGGUCUUGCCUGCCCACUGAAUAGUUUAAAUGGCCGCGGUAUUUUGACCGUGCAAAGGUAGCAUAAUCAUUAGUUUUUUAAUUGAAAGCUGGAAUGAAAGGUUUAAUGAAAAAAUAACUGUCUUUAUGAAAAAAUUAAAAUUUUAUUUUUAAGUUAAAAAGCUUAAAUUAGUUUAGUAGACGAGAAGACCCUAUAGAGUUUUAUAAUUUUUUUUUUAUAUUAAAUUUUAGAUAAAUUUUUUUUUUAAUUUGAUAAUUAUUGAGUUGGGGUGAUUGAAUAAUAAAAUGAACUUAUUUUUUUUAUUUUCAUUAAUUUAUGUAUUAUUGAUCCAUUAUUUAUGAUUAAAAGAUAAAAUUACCUUAGGGAUAACAGCGUAAUUUUUUUUAAGAGUUCAAAUCGAAAAAAGAGAUUGCGACCUCGAUGUUGGAUUAAAAUUAAUUUUUGGUAGUAGAAGCUAAAAUAUUAGGUCUGUUCGACCUUUAAAAUUUUACAUGAUCUGAGUUUAAACCGGUGUGAGCCAGGUUGGUUUCUAUCUUUAAAUUUAUUAAAUAAUUUAGUACGAAAGGAUUAAUUGUUUAAUUAAUAAUUUUUAAUUUGAAUUUUAUUA
rnacentral:rRNA from 1 species